rnacentral:lncRNA from 1 species
CCGGGGCCGUGUGCAUCACCCAUAUCCUAACUACUGACCUCUGGGUGCAGUCACCUGGAGCUGGCAUACGGUUGGUGCAGGAUGCCACUCCAAGCCCCGGCCUCCCCGUGUAGGUGUCUGGCUCCUGUGCCUGUGACUUCUCACCUGGACAGCUUUAGCCAGCAAGGUGCUCCAUCUGAGGUUGCCUGAGUCACCUGAGGAGGUGACCCAGGAAAGCCCAUCUGGAGGCCUGACAUGGGGCUUUGCCUAUCCCCAAGCCUCAGGGCUGACUGACUUUCCUUGUUACUGGCACUCUUGGGAUCUCCCCGAGGUCCUUCUUGGAAAGAGUGACAUCCUGCAGCCUCCUUCAGGAUUCUGGCCCAGGGCCUCAGAAGGGAGCUACACAAGUCAUUCUGAUGCCACCAGAGCAAGUGGUCGCUGGGAAGAAAAAUGGCCUCGUCGGCCUGCUCUUGGGAGAGGUGCAUUCCCUACCUCUUCCCAGCCCCCUCAGAAGGAAUCAGGAAUUUAGGACGAGAUGGAAAUUUUGUAGAUAACCCCAAAGAUGUGAAGCUGGUUUGUGGAACUGUCUUGGGUGAAUAGAUAAUUUCCAAAGCCUGUCCUCCCAAACUGGCCAAGCUCUGCUUGGGGAGCUGGAGUCGCCACUGUGCUGUGUCCUCCCUACCCAACACUGAACUAAGAAAGGAAGCAAGAUGUCAGCUGUGGGCUUCUCUGGGGCUGCCAAUUGGGUGAGGCAGGUGGGGGCCCACUCCUUCCCAAGAAGAAGGUUCUGGGGAGCAGAACCACAGGGGUCUUGGGGAAGGACUCGGAACCACAUGGUUCGUGGAGAAAUGAUUUUAAUGUAGGAGAGGGGUUACGUAGGAAUAAUGUCAGGACUUGAUUUCCCACCUCACAAUCAAGAGUGAAAAAAUCUGGAUCUGCCCCAGGCUUGGGAGCUGACGCUCCUGGCUAAACCUGUUGUGUGUUUGCAGAACCUAGCAGUCCUACCAGCCGUCUAACGGGGUUAACGGUGGGGUUUGUGGGGGUUUCCUUUUGUUGUAUAUUGUUUACAAUUUUGAGAGGUAGCUUUCUGUUUCAAGCGCUUUGUUUUCCUGACAGUAUUGUUGAGUGGAUCAAAAUAUUUGAGCUGUGGUUUGGUGGAUUUUAGGUUUUUUGGGUUUUUUGGUUUUGUUUUGUUUUGUUUUUUAAAGGUCAUUCUCUGCGCUGUCUUCAAAAACCUGGGGUUUGACUCUCUGAUUCCUUUGGCAUUCAUAUAUUUAAAAGCUAUUUAUCCUUGUUUUAUACAAGUUUUCUUUCUCUUUGUGACAAAGAUGUGCUGUUUGGCUUCAAUCUCCACGUGAUUACACCCUCCCCCGAUUCAUCUGUCGCCUCCUUCCUGAGUCCCACCGCUCACUCUGGGCAGCAGGUGUCAAGGGGAAGACAAGACCAUUCACUUGACUCCUCAGGGCCAUGAAGAACAGCCAGACUGUCUUAUGGCAUGCAGAGUCAUGUUGGGUCUUCCAGAAAUAGACAUUUAAGAAUAGAGUCCCAGACAACUGGGUGAGGUCUGGAUGCAGGAAAGGGGGGAAUUCCGUUACCGGCCCUUCACCCUGCCUCUUACUUACUGUGUUGCAUCCCUCCUGUGGGGAUUGUGGGGCUGAGAAAGUAUGUCUCACAUCCAGCUGAUGCAAAGGGUACUACUAUGAAAACUCUGACACCAAGCGAUGGCCUCAGGCCAUGUUCCUAGUCUAACGUUGUCCCUGUUUGGGGGGGGGGGGGUGUGCAGGGCAGCAUGAGGAGUACAGUUCAGUUCCGCUGCAGUGCUAAAUCUCUCCUUAACUAGCUCAGGGGUUACUGGUCUGUGGCUUGCACCAUGAAUGGCCCCCAGGCUGUUCUCAGUGGCACUAUAUUCCCCACCACAGGCAGCUCUUCCUUUCCCUCUCCCCCAUGCUGAAUCACUUUUCUCAGUCCUGGGCUUUAGGCCUAAACAGGUUCCCUAGCAGUGCUCAAGGGAGGAGAGACUGGACUCCUGUCAGAGACUUCCCCUUUUCACAAUGUGCCAGGCCUCCCUGGGGAGGUGGACCAAAGACCCAGGACUUUCUCAGUAGCCAGUCCCUCCAGCCCCCUGUCCCCCACUCCCAAUUGUCUUUUUAACAAUUCAGGUUGAGAGAGAAAAACCAUUAGCUGUUUCUAGUGCUUGACCCACUCAAGUAUUUUGGGCAGAAAGGACAGUGUACUGAGAUAGCCCUCAGAGCUCUGGCCUUGUGGUUUCCCAAGUUUAGAGACCUCACCAGCAGCAAUGGGGGUGGGGGUAGGGGGUUUCAAAGGGAAACACAACUAGACAGCUACCAAAUCUGCCAGCUGUGGUCCCCAUCCUCUGAAAUGUGUCACUUAGGAAGAGUGUUGCCAAGGGGGAAUGAGACUCAGUUGUCCUUCAGGCUGAGUCACCAGGAAGGAGGCUGAGGAGACACCAGAAGAGCCCGUCCCUUGCCCACAGCCAGUUUGCGAGGUGGGAGCCCAUACAUUUAGGGGGAACCCUCUGCUUAGCACAUCUCAGCAGCAGGUCAGAACAUCGCACACACCAAAUGUGAAUGAAAUCUAGAGUCAUCUUUGGGACCGCAGGAUUAAAGUACUACCCACCACAUGUGACUUGUCCAUUUCCGGCUGCAAGUUCCAUUUUUUAAAAUAGGAAUUUUCACCCCUGUGCUUGUCUAAUGUCUGCUCUGAACAGUUUGAGCCUCUGUUACUGUUUUAAAAAUGCAUGCGUGUUAAAAAAGAAUCUCCAAAUGGGAGGACAAAAUAAAACUCGGAAAGCUUUGCGUAC